rnacentral:rRNA from 1 species
UACGGAGGGGGCGAGCGUUAUUCGGAAUUAUUGGGCGUAAAGGGCGCGUAGGCGGCCCGGUAAGUCAAAGGUGAAAUCCCUCGGCUCAACUGAGGAACUGCCUUUGAAACUGUCUGGCUUGAGGCCGGGAGGGGGUAGCGGAAUUCCCAGUGUAGCGGUGAAAUGCGUAGAUAUUGGGAGGAACACCAGUGGCGAAGGCGGCUACCUGGACCGGUUCUGACGCUGAUGCGCGAAAGCGUGGGUAGCAAACAGG